rnacentral:piRNA from 1 species
UNGCUGAAGCCCUAGCCAAGGAUGGAUUGA